ensembl:snRNA U4 U4 spliceosomal RNA
AGCUUUGCACAGUGGCAGUAUUGUAGCCAAUGAGGUUUAUCCGAGGCGUGAUUUUUGCUAAUUGAAAACUUUUCCCAAUACCCCCCCAUGACCACUUGUAAUAUAGUCAGCGCUGGCAAUUUUUGACAGUCUCUACAGAGA